GAUGGAGCAGAUAGGCGUCCUUCUCUUGGAAACAAGUCCCCAAAUGAGCAAACAAGGCCGGAGCAACAACCUGAUUUUCAUGCAAAUGCUUUCCCUUCAAGAGUACCGCAAGAGCACAAACAAGGAUUAGCUGCUGACGGUCAUUUGCAUACCCUCGGCCAACUCCAAGCAUUUUUUAACCUCUAUGGCAAAGCAUUUCGCUCACCAUGAAUCGUCCCUUCCGCCCCUUCCUGUGCAGCUACCAAUGACGUAGGAUGUACUCCAGAUGUUGGGUGUUCAUGAGCUGUUUUAUGAAGAAGAGGAUCACAGCAGCUACCUAUGGCACUGGUAAGUAAGCAGCAGAUGGCGUCUGCCUUGAGCUACACAUGCACCACGCUUCACAUCUAUCUGGCAGCGGUAGUGAGGAGGAGGAAUCAAAGUGUAGGAGCCCUUGAGGAAAGGAUGAACAAGUCUGUGCAUUUGAGAUGGGCUUUGGGUUAGAAAAAUAAUAAAACCCAAAUAUUUUAAUAGAAAGAUCAGCUCUAGCAUCAGUAAUCUAGCCAGACAGCAGUGGGAUGAGGAGAGACAUAGGGAAUGUUUGAUGUAAAAUCGAGGUCGUGCCCUGAAAAUCAGACGCAGGCUUUGGGAGAGGUAUGUGAGCCAUUAAAAUGAAAGGAAACCCGAGACAGUGGCUCCGCCAGCUGCCAAAGACACCGCUCUGUGUCUGUGCACGCUGGAGCCCACUCCCCUCCACCACUGGCAGCAUGGCAGAUGCUGCAUUGUGGUACCAUCACAGCAGAGGAUACCCAGAGGAUAAACCAGAACUGGGCUAGGGACGUACUUUAAAAAUUCCUUUCUAGCUGUUAAUCUACUGUGAGAGGGGAUUCAAAGCUCCCAUUGGAAGGAAGGGCUUUGGCCCAGCUGGCUGAGCCCUCUGCUCACUCACUGAGUGGGCAUGGGGAGCACAGCCCUACGCAACCUUCCCCACGCUGCCUCCUGUUUGUCUUCCUGCUCUGGUCAGAAGUUCCAGGGAAGGAGUUGCUCUACCCUUUGAUGUGACCAGGAAGCCUUCUGGAUGCUGCCAAAAUCUCCAGUGGUCCUUCUUGAGAUCACAAGGGCUCUACAGGGAGACAUGCUCCAUACAAUGUCUAUACAUCUCUGAAGGAGCACCCAAGCUCCAUUCAUGCUCAUUUCUUUGUGCCCAGGUUGUGACUGAGGGUCUUCAGACAUUUUACUGCUGGUUUCACUGGGCACUGUGGCUUAUCCAUCACCCCAGUAUUGCUCUGGCCGCAGCACUGGCGUCCACUGACCUUUCUUCUGGCACAGGAAACCAGCCCAGAGCCUCCACCCAUGUUUCCCAUGCGACCAUCUCACCAGCUGUGGCAGGUGGGGGUGCCAGGGUCCUCACUAGGACUGGGCAGGUAAUCAGGAGUGUGCCCUGGCACUCACUGGCACACUGAAAAUGCUCAGGCAUUUUGUGUGUGGGAGUGCAAGCUGCAUUUCUUGGUGUACCAGUGAUGGAAAUCCUUUUUUAUUUCAUUCGCUGAGGUCUUGCAUAAAAAUCUUGAUUUUGCUGAUAAAAGAGAGUUCUGUGCACAAAGCUUUUAUCAUACUCUGACCUCAGCGUGGCUUGAGUCAACAUUUUCAACUGAAUCAAUAUAUAUAUAUUUUUUUUUUCAGGAAAGACAGCACAACAAUCCACUCUGGAAAGCCCAGCUGAACUGAUUUCAAGGCCCCCACAGCAGUGAGGAGAUAGCUCACGAGCUGUGGUGUGAGCUAAGACAUAAUGAGCUCAUGACACAUGUUUGUCUUGGCUUCCACCCACCCCACGUGGGGCUGUACCAGCUGGCAGCAACAUGACAAGUGGCUGCAGCCCGCAUGAACCACAGCACCACUAGAACAGCACUAGCCCAAUAAUUCUGAGGCAGGGAUAUGAGCUACCCACUACAAGAAAGCCCCAGAUUGCUUGACCCUAAGUGUUUACCAGCAUGCUACAUCUCAGCUUUUAUUGCAGGGAUCACCAUUUGCUGUAUCCACAUUUAAAGCUGCAUAAAUAGCAGUGGGGCUGCUGAUGCCUGGGAAUGCUGUCAUGUCACUGCUUCACGUGGCAUGGUGUCAUGUAGCAGGAUGAUAGACUGCCACCACAUCCCAGCAGCAUGUUUGGCAGUUGGGAUGGAAUUCCCCUGCCUGCCUCCCGGACCAGGAAAACCAAAACCACAGACUUAUGGCUGGAGUGCGGCAGUGAGAGCAAUCAAUCCAAGAGACACAGCCUGCAUGUUGCUGAGACACCGAGCACAUUGCAGAGCAACAUAAGGGGCAGCGAGGUGCUCCACAUCAGCUGGGACCACAGGGUUUGGUGCCUAGGGCUAUAGGAUGGAUGGAGGUGGGGAAGGUACCAAAGCUCUGCUCUGUGACUGCUUGAGCUGCCAAUGUGUCCUGCAGUCCCUUUUGUGCUUGGUCACCUCACUAGUAGCUCAGAUGAAAGCCACUAGCUGCUGUGUGCUCAGCUGCGUGCAGAGAUCAGCCCAGCUAUUUGGUCAACAGGAUAAGAAUUGAGAUACUUGAGCGUGUGCAUCUUUUUUUCACUCUGUUAUUUUUCUAAUCUUGGACAAAUCCGUGAGAGAUUGAAUGAAGUUCCUGACAGAUCAGCACAACUAGAUGCCUUCAAAUUUUUAAGGGUCGAUUUUUUUGUUAGAUGAUGGCUCAGAAAGCCACCAGGGAUGUACAGUCAGCAUCCGCCCGUUAUGGGAAGAGGAGUGGGUGGAAGGGGAGAGGCUGCUGCUCUGAUUUGCUUGGCUCGGUGCUUGGGCUCACUGAGUUUUGCUGUGUGCCGAAGCCACGUGAUUUGUGUAGUUGUGACACAAAAUCAUAAAUCAAUCCGGUUUGGCUAGGAAAGUUCACGAACCCUCACUGAACCUUUGGACGAACCUGGGUUGAGUUUCUAGCUCAUAAGGAAAUCUGAAACCAGGCGGGCUUCAGAAGGAUUUGUGUUUCAUCGCGAACCCUUUGUAGAGCUCUGCUAAAAAGGCGGCGGUCAGCAAUCCCUGGGUUUGGUUAAGAAAAAAGUUGUCGGCCUGAGAGCGUUUACACAGAGCAUGGCUGACCUUUAGAACAGCCCUAUUGUGGUGAGUGAAAAAUAGCUAUUCUUGAAAACUGCCUCUUGCACGGCACUGCCAGGAGCUGCCUCCAUUUCCCAGAGCUGUCUGACAUAGCUAAAGCACCUGCUGGGGACAUCCUCCUUUCCCAUCAUAUUUUGCAGAUUUUCAGAGGGAUUUCAAACCUCUUGAUCAUUCUCCCCCCCCCCCCCCCCUUUUUUUUUAAUCUCAGUUCAUAGGCGCAGAGGUUUCUUACAAAUCUCUCAAUGCAAUGCUUGCAAAAGAUUUCAAGCAGUGUCUUUAUCUUCAAAAUGCCUCUGUAUUCCUCCCCUGAAUGUGAGAGCAGGAAAAAGGCAGAAAGUGUUUUCAGGUGAGAUAUGCCACUGCCUUGCUGGUGGAAGGAGCUAUCCAGCUCAGGGCUCUAAAUGAGUUUAGGAUGACUGUUGGACUAAGCAGAACCUGGAACCCAAAUUAACAAAACCAAAAGCAUGGGACUUCAUUCAACAGCACAGACACGAAGUAAAGGCUGAAAUUUAAGCAGCAUUUUGUAGAGGUUUGUAUCUUUCAUGAAGCAAACCAUGCUAAUGCAAAUGUCUGAAGAAAGAAAAAAGCCAGUGUUCUCCUUAUUGACAAACUGAUUGAUCAUUUAGAGGAAAGGGCUAAAAAAGGAGGACUAUGAAGCGCCUUGCUCAGGAAGGAGUAAUGUCAUGCUCAGAUCCUGAGCCCCGAAUUUCCUUUGGCCCAGGCAAAAUUCAGUUUGGAAGUUUAAGGGAAUAAUGAGCUGAAAAAUUCUCAGUUAUGUACAGCUGUUCCAACAAAGCCAAUGCUCUAGGCCAACUUCAUCUUUCAGAGACAUGGAUACACCUUGUGGAGGCCGCAUGGGGACUGGACCCCCAAGGCUGAGAGCAGCAUCCUGGGGAGCACAGGGCCGUGCUGCACCAUAUGUGCAUUCCUGACAGUCUGCCUUUCAAUGAGUGGGUCCUUUGGGCCCCUUUCUGACCUCCAGUCCACAUGCGUGCAGGUCCUGAGGGGCAAGGGAAAUCACACUGCACUUAGAGAGUUAUGCUAAGUUUGGAAACUGAUUUGCGGAUUUAAAAUAUAAAGUGUCAGAUAUGGGAACCAUUUUACUCUGUGUGUUAGGGUAGUGGAGUCGAAUCUGUUUGCCAGAGGAACCCCAGGAGAAAGGGCUGGGAAAGAAGGCAAAGAAGGAAAAGUAUCAGGACUGGGCUUGAUAUGUGUGGUAAAAAUACACCAUUGCCAUAUGGAAAUGGACAGGGAAUAGGAGUUCCUAAUGUCUGGAGGUGGAAGACCAAGAAAAAGCUAUAGACUGAGGAUAUUUCUGUUAAGAUAUUAGAUAAACUUUUCUUAUCAAGCCAAGCAAGAUGCAAGUUGCAAAGAGUGUUGGAGUCAGAGUGGGCUCAAUGGUGGUACUUAAUGGAGAACCCCACCAGCACACUCACUGCUGCUGGUGCCCAUUCCAGCUUUCUAUGGAUCCAUUAGCUGUAUGUCACUCUUGCAUCAUCCACAGCCAGAACAUCAACUUGAAGAGACUUUGCACUGCAUUCAAAAAUCUGCAGGCCUUAGAAGAACUGGGGGUUUGUUGGGUCCGUCUGCUCCAAGCCCUGCUCAAACAAGGACACUCAGAGCAGGGUGUCCAGGACCAUGUCCAGGUGGCAUUUGAAGAUCUCCAGUGUUGGAGACUCCACAACCUCUCUGGGCAUCCUGUCAAAUCAGUGACAUAAAGUAGGCAUCCUGCCUGCUAUACCCCCAAGGCUCGCAUGAGAUAUCAGCACUUACUCCAAGCAAGGCUGAAGUGGGUAACUUGUUGGAAACCUCUUCAUCCUAAAGCAUCCCUGCUGGGAGGGAUUUCAGGACAGCAGCAUAGCUAGGAGAUGGGUUUCCUAGGGGAACCACUGCAAAGAUGCUUCCACUGGGAAGAUUUUAACAUGGAGCAGACUGUGGGAGUUGUGCCGUGAGAAGUUGGGUGAAGACUUAUUCCUUUGCUUGGGUAAAAUCUUCAUGGAGAGUAAACAUGGUUAUUCCAUACCUACUAUCAUCAACAGGAGCAGGAACAAGGUGAGGAUAAAUCCCACAUUUCAUAUCAGAAGCAUUCUGCCUUGGAAAUUCCAAGUUCUGUAUACAUAGGAUUUUGUGUGUGUGUGUGUGUGUGGUCCACAGCUCUUUGUUAUAUACUGUGAUUUUCCCCACCCCUCUACAGAGAUAAGUAGGUAGAAGGCAGUUGUUUGGAUAAGUCAGUGGCAGGCGAUAAGAUUAUAACAAAGCCACUGGUCUGCAGUGGAAAGUUUUUACACCAUACACAGGGAUUUUUAUCAGAGCUUUACAAAUUGCCUUUGUUUCAUUUCAAGGGCUUAACUUAGCUCAUCCUCCAAGCAAAAUGGUCUCAUCCUUCCUGUCAUCUUCCAAGAUAGAGGAAGUGGUGGUAAAUGUGUGUGUUCUCUAUCAGGGGCUAUCUCCUCAAAGCAGAGCCUGGAAAAAGCUCUAUCAAUUAACAUUUUGUGUUUCCUUUCCUUUCUUCCUUCUUUUUUGGGUACUAUGGCAAAGGAGCCUCCAUUUCCUUCUUUGUUCCAUCUAAACAAACCAGGCAAUUCAGAAAAUGAGUGGAACAACUCUGACUGAAGCUAACCUUUGUGGGACCCAACCACUCACUCCUCCCCACAGAACAGUGCCCACCUGUAAAGGAUCAACAUAACACUGCUUCCCCUGCCUUGAUGCUAAGUCUCAGUGCUUGGCCAUAAACAAUGAGAAAGAAAAAGGUAAGAACGAAGGAAAAAAAAAUACAGGAUUUAUGGACAAAAAGAAUGGGAGGAAAAGGGCUCACUGUCCUGUUUAUUGGCCAAAGGAGCUGAAGAAGCAGAGGAACUUAGAGGUGAUCCUGAUAUACUUCGUGUGUGUCUCUCCUUUAUUUUUUUUUUCCAGUCAGAGGGUCUUUCAGUCUGUCUGAACACAGGCUCUUCAUCUGCCACGGGGAUGGUCACAGAGAGGUCCUUCAGGAACAUUACUGCAUGUAAAAUCCUCAGCCUGUCUUAAUCUGCACAAAAUUGCAAGUGUGGGCAGGCUGUGAGUGAUUGAGCCAGGCCAAAGAGGAAUUCGGCAGCAGUGCAACCUCUGUCCCUGCCCACCUCAGUGACAGCCCAGUGUUUAACCACUGUGUGAUCCUGCCAGCCCCAUGCUCACAGUUUACUGACAACCAUCUGUUGAAAGAGCUUUGCCAAGCUAAACCGACCCAACGCUAACUGCAAAGUUUGUGAGCAAGGAGUAAGUGGAAUAAUUGAAAAAACUGGGGAAAUGUCUAGACCACUUAGAUGGAUUUGUGUAUUUAAGAAAGAGCUGGCUUAUGUGUUCACCAACAACUCACCAACCACAGAAGAAAGUAUUUUAAAUCUUCAGCCUGAUGCAGUUCUUGAAGCAAGCACAGCAUCUCAUUAAAAACCCCAAUCCCAAGCCCUGAGCAGUCCAUUCAGUCUCGUGACCACUUUAAAACCUUUCAGAACAAGUCUGUAUGACAUUUAUUCAUGGUUAUUAGACAGGUAAUGAAAAAAAAGAUGAUUUACAACACAAUCCUUACACACACAACCUUUCUUCUAGAAGACAAUCCCUGUUUGUGAGGUGUUGGGAGAACCUUCUGAGAAGUGGUUUCAGUGGUAGGAGAGUGAGAGGUUGGCUCAGUUGGUAAGCUUUCAGCCCCAUUAUUUUACCUCCCUGUCAACAGGCCACAACAGACACACUGAACAGUGGCAGAAGAGGCUCCUUCUCCUGCUGCUGACAGCCUUCAGUGGACACAUGCCACUGGAGGGGGAAGAUGCACUUUUUUGUCCAUACAGGAGAAGGUGCAGUAACAGGGCAAGUAGCCCAUAGUUCUGUGGACAUCACCACACCAGAUCCAUCCAUGUGCAAGGGUUUGUCCUUGUGUUUGUUGGUGAGGGUGGUCUUCAUUCAACCCAACAAGUCAGAAGGGAACUCUUUCCACAUAAGACAACUCUCAGGGAUUAGAGAAGCACUCCACUUCACUGGGGUUGGGAAAAAAGGCAGCGAGGGAGUGUCAGGAUGCUUGUGAGCUCCACAGUCUUCUUGCUACUUAUCUCUGGCCCUCUGAGACAGCAAGUCUGGGCUGGUCCAGGACCUCCCUGGACAUACCUGCAGUGUCCUCACCCACAUCUGACUCAUUUUAACCAGGAAAACUGCACCCUGGGAGAAAGCAGUGCCGAGGAUGAGCUGAGGGCUUGCUCCUGUCAGAAUGACCCUGCCAAAGACCUCUGCUCUGUCUGCCCCAAUGUGAGUAAUACAAGGCAUCAAUCACUUUCCCUCCUUCUGGCCCCAUGUCUUGGCCCAAAACCUUCGCGCCAGUUUCCAGAUUUGUAAUGAGUUGGAAAGUUAAUGAAGUGGACAUAGAGCAAUUUGUUGAUUACAAGCAUUUGAACAAGAUUUUGUGUAUGUGCGUGUAUUUGAGCAUAGACGUGUAUUCACACAAAAACAUGUAUGUGCAUUGAUAUGCAUAUGCAUAGAUACAUAUUCUGCAAAGGUUUCUGUGCUAAAAUAGAUCUAAACACGCUUACACAUCUAGUUAACUGCCAAGAAGGGAAUUUUGUGCUCAGAAGUAUUCUGCUGGAAGUGUGGGGAGGGUACAGGCUACUUUAAAAAGAGGGGACUCCCUUUCUUGUUUUUAGCUCAUGGGUUUGGGUUUUUUUUGUUUUGUUUUUUUUUUGCACGUGUGUCUACAACUUCCUGCACAUGGAAGUUCCAUAGUUCUGAAUAGGCUUUGGUCAAACACUUCUAGAUGCAUACAUCUAUACUUCUAAUUAGGAAGGGAGGAAUUGUGGUAUUCACAUUUUUUAGAGUUCCCAUUGCUGAGGUACAGCUAUUGGACCUCUCUUAGUUCCUGAUGAAAAAAACAUGAAAGUACCAUUACUUCCAGUAAGGUCAAGAGGGGGUCCAUUGCAAACAGAGACACACUGAGCCAUGUAUGUGCAGGCCAGCCCUUCCAAAGCCAGCCUGAUCUUCUUGUUGUUCAAUCCUCCUGACUGCUGUUAAUCAAUUAAUAUGUGAACUUGCAGACUCAAAUGGAGGUGGGUUAUGAAUAUAGAUUGCACAUUGCUUCCCUUCAGGAAUUCAUGUAAAAGCUGUCAUUAACAUAAUGCAUAUACAAGAGUCCAACAAAAAGCUAUUAACUUUUGUAUUCAUCCAGCCAGGCUCAGUAAGUGCUUUACCAUCAACAGUCUUGCUGCACUUGAAAUUAAAUAUGUGUGUCAAGGUUAGCGCUUCCUGGGUUGAGAAACCGUACCAGCAGAAUGCUAACAGAUGUUAGCAAUAUGUAUGUGUGGGAGGGGAAGAUCACACCUGACUCGUGUCAGCACUGAGCAGUGUUUGGAGCCUGGAGCUAAUCAUCUGCAGCAACCUCACUUUUAACAAGGGCAAACCACCAUCGUGUUUUCCAUGGAUGCAUUUCCCCUUUCGGUAUACCCCGAUGGACUUCCUGACGCAGAGCAGUCAUUGAACACAGCCUGGCCUCGGGCAUCCAGAAGCCAGCACGGCCUCUUGCAACAAGGCAGAGCUAUCUGCAAAAGUGUUUCUGGCUGGGAGCUUCUUACAGCCUUCAGCUCCCUGCAGCAGCUCAGGGAUGGGCUGGCAAUUACCACUCCCUGUCCCCCAGACAACCCUGUGUUUGGAGGUGGGAGUGUUGAAAUUAUGUUCAAGAGAGCUGGUUUAAGUUGGCUUUAGUUUCCAUGGUUAUAUUGUGUUCUUAAAAAACAAACAGUCAUUACCUAUUUACGAAAUGAUUGUGAGAACAGGUAAGUGAUGUAAGGAAAAUGCUCUGUUGAAAAAAAGCUUGCUCAGGUAUGAGAUCAGAAGACCAGGUGUAAUAGAGCUCUGUCCAGAGUGCCCCCAGGGCUUACUAAGUGGCAGAAAUUCACCGCGAUCCCAAAUUACACUCCUCGUGGUAUAUGAGGGAGUGUACUCGGUAAUCAGGGAAGUGGUAACAUUUGUAAAAAAAAAAAAAAAAAAAAAAAAAACCCAAGGAGAAGAGCUAUGCAAGAACUGCAAAUUGGCAAAGAUGACUAUUGUUUAAGAAAACACAAUAAAAUAGAGUAAUGAGAUGAUCUGGGAAUAUAUACAUACAAUACAGCCAGCCAGUCAGACAUCUGUCCUGAGAAGAAGUCUGGGGAGCCUUUUCAAGGGAUGUGGUAGGAGAACAGCGACCAAGCCCCAGUUUGAUUAGAGGAAGCCGGCACAGGAGGAUCGUGUCAUGCUUAACUACUCUUCUGGAAUCCUUUGAAGAUACCACUGCCAUGACAGAUAAGGGCAAUUUAGUGGGUAGCAGAAUAUUUUGAUUUUCCAGAAGCAUUUGACGGUUUUCCAUACAUGAGAUUAAUGGCUUUCGCAAAAGACUUUAAAGAGAAGAUAAAACAGUGACUGGAAUGGAAAAAUAGCUUAAAAAUAGGAGACAAAGCUUGGCAAAGGAUUGAAGGAAGCAUUUCUGACUGUUUCUAAAACUGACACCACUCCUAUUUAUGAUGGACCAAAUCCCAUUUAUGUGGAAGCCAGUAGUAUCUUGCCACUAAUAUCAGAUUUGCAGAAACACGAUGAAAAUGGGAGGUGUCCUGCUUCAAUCUAUGUACCUCUUAAUUCAAAACAGCCGAUAAAUGGGAUGGCAGUUCCCCUUCCUGCUGCAGGCACGCAGGGGCAGGAAAUGCUGGUGGAUUUUCCUGGGGUCCCCACACCCCAGAAUGGGUUCCUGAUUGUCUCAUGCUGGGGUAGCACACAUCAUAGCACAUGCCACAGCCUACAGCCGUGUGAAAGGAGCACUCCAUCCACCCCCUGCAUUAUUAUUUAUGCCAAAAGCAUGUCUCUGGAAAGGUACAAUGGUAAGGCCUGGAAGUAGGGCUGAGACAAGCUUCUGAAAGGAGAGAAGGGGCUUUCCAUAUGGCAUUCAACAGCAGUUCUGUACAGCGGCACCUUUAGCAUGUGCCUGUAGCAGGAUUAAACCUCUUCCCAAUGGGAUAUCUUCAUAGCACUGGCCCUUGGGAAAGCUGUGGCCCAAGUGGCAGUGCCUGUCCCAAGGAUCUGCUCAAUGCCAGGAAGAUUAGGAGAGACCCCUGGGACUGCAGGACCCAAAAGGCCAGUAGACACUUUUAAUCAGUGCUGGUAAUUUACUGUGACAGUCAUUCUACACCUAAAAACCAUUGGCAUCAAGACCUACUUUCCACCCAGGGCUGGAGAAAGCUGCUCUCAAGCCAGAACAACAGCUUGCAGCCACACCAGGAGCCUCUAGUCUCCUGUCCUGCUCCAUGUUCUGUCUGUGUAUGGACCUCUGCCUCUGCUCCUGCUCCAUCAGGCUUAUCCUACUCCCACACCAGAGGCUUGCACUUUCCCUUCUUACGUGAGAGUAGAAACAAACAGAGCUUGUGGGUUGAUCCUGUGGGUCCCAAAAUACAGCCCAGAACCCCUAUCAUGAUAGUGGAAUACCAUGAGUUCAAAACUGGAGUCAUGUUGUCAGUUCACCAGAAGGACAUAGGGGUUUAUCAUGUUUUUCAUGUCUCACUAUGGGCUCUGAAGUUGUGCGCCUUUACCUUUUGGGUAGAAGUGUCUCUCAUAUAGCCUAAUGCUCCUCUGCUCUGCCAGACAGUUUGUUGGUCAGAUCCACGGAUCUAAGCACGUCAUACGCUGGCAUAAGAUCCCAAAGAAGUUCAGCUUGUCCUCAUCAAGCACGCCUGUAUUUGCACUCAAGCUACAUUAAUUGUUAGACAAAGACACCUUAGCCUUAACUCGCUUUAUGAACAUCAUCUCACAAGCUUUCAUUCUCUCUCAGUCCUAAAGGAAGCAGUCUACAAAACAGAAAAACUUGUAGAUGAUUUUGCCUGAAUUCUCUUUAUUAUCUCUAGCCCUCAAUCUUGGCUUUCUGGGGGGUAAGACAGGAAAAAUAUGUCAUGUUUGAAUGCUGGUUGGGAAAACAAACAGCAUUUGAAAUGUUGUUUUAAAAUACAACUUCCUACCUGUAGCCUUUGUUUUUUCUGGAAGUGGCCGGAGUCCUUGACGGCACUUGAGUUCUUAAAAAUGCCUUAAAAAACUUAAUGGAAAUAAAUCAAGAUAAGCAGCACACAUGGUAACAAUACUGUCUCCUAGUUGGGUUCAACUUGUUCCAGCUGUUGGCGUGAUUGUGAGUUUCAGGGCCAGGAAGACCAUGUCCGCAGUUAUGUUACUGGCAGUGACGGACGAAACGCUCAAGCAGCCUAUUGCAAAUGGGUAAGCAGACCAUGUAACAAAUAAUGUCGAGUUCACCUGACCAUUGACAGAGUUCCUUUGAUGUAACAAGAGGAAGAUCUGGCUUCUCAAGCUCCUUGAGUCUGCCAUUAGAAAAGGUUGUGAUCAGCAAACAAAACGAAAAUAAUACUUCAGUGUUCAAAGUCCACCUGAAGUUUAAUUUCUCUGCCAAUGAACCCAGCACUAAAGUUUAAGAUAAUAUUUGGAAGGAAACAGAUGUACUUAGUGGUUAAUUUUAAAUAACUUCUCAUAUCUCAUAGCCUGACUUUUUAAAACCUUUCUCUUACUUGAUGAACAUUACAUGUGAUUGCCUUACGGCACAGCUAAUAUUAGAGAUGCGAUUGACAACGUUGAGCUCUUACACAAUCAUAGAAUCAUGGAAUGGCCUGGGUUGAAAAGGACCAUAACGAUCAUCUAGUUUCAACCCCCCUGCUACGUGCAGGGUUACCAACCACUAGACCAGGCUGCCCAGAGCCACAUUCAGCUUGGCCUUGAAUGCCUCCAGGCAUGAAAGAAAAGAGAACCAACGUUCUCUUUUAUUGACAGAUCCCUACAAAAUGUGGUAUCAUUGCUUAGUUCUUUUGUUGGGGUCGUGCCAAGAAAGAUGAUGUGGUUUGUCUAAAGUUGCCUGCCAUGGAAUGACAGGCUUGGAAACCAAACCCAGUUAUCUCUUCAUCCAUCCCAGAGACUUGGACCAGCAACUCCUUAGGGCCACAUUGCCUCAUUUACUAAGUGUGAAUUUGGAGUAGGUCAUAUCACGUGUGUUUUUGAGCUGUGUAAAGUGAUUAAAGUAUUCAGGUGAAAGCAUCAGGAGGCUCAUGGUGGCAAGAGACACACUGUCCUGGUGGGUGCUUGUGGGAGGAGCCCUGGUUAGAGGACUAGGGUGUGAACUGGUCUGCUCUGACAGCACCCAGUGGGAAAGCCCAUGUUCCUCCUAAGUAAAGGGAACUGUCUCAAAGAAACACGAAGGUAUCAUCCACUCUUCAUGCAACAGCACCAUGAGUACCCAGGUACUGGGUAAACAGUAACUACAACUCAAGGAAAUUGCCCAUGCUGAGCUGUGCUCCUCCCUGCCCUGAUUUAUCUGCAGAUUAGCUGUCAGGGAGGACAGGAAUGAGUGGAGCACUCUGAUGCACUGGGAGCUUUAAUCAGCUGAGCAGAAUGUUUGGUAUCUGAGUUUAUCACCUGCUAUAUAUGGCUUUCUGGGAUUGCCUAGGUAUGAAAAGCUGUAUUUAAACAUGCCUUUAAACACCCCCGCCCACCACUCUGUGCUUCCUAUCUCAGAAACCCCCUCAGGCUGCAAUAAAGUUAAAAUGAGGGUUAUCUCUGAUAACCAAAGUUAAUUGUGAUAUUGGCAGAAGAAAGGCCUUGGGUAGAGCAGUUUUGGGUUACAGACACAGGAGCUGGAGUGCAGCUACGUCUCAUCCCAUGAAGGAGCAACAGAACAGGCAAGGAUUCAAUGGGGUCACUUCAAAUUCAGGCACUCCAAAUUCACACCAUCUCCCUCACACAUGAACAAAGCACAUCUCCUCACCUCCUUGCAGCCCUUUUCCACCUACUGCACUGUAGUUAUGCAGACUCAGCUGCACAACCUUCCUAGGGUCUUUGCACUGUAUCUGCAACAGAAGGCCCUGAUCUCUGCUGUUAGGUAUGCAGGAUUUUCAUUCUCCCUUUAGGCAAGAAAAGCAUUCACACUUCAAUUUGAAAUAAAAAGUGUCUGAAGAUGUAAUUUUACUGAAAGUUUCUCGUUGUAGAAAAUACACAUAGUACUGGAAAUAGCUGAACAUGAAAAAAACUUCAGGAAGGUCAUGAUAUAGCCUACCACUUGAUACUAAUGAUUGUGAAAGGAGAACUAGCUUCAAUUAAGAUUCGUGAAAGAGAAAAGAAUUAAGCAUAAUGAAAUCCAGCUGCAAAAAUACAACUGGGGCAAAGGAUUACAAAGAGCUCUAUUACUGUAAGAACAGGUGUUACAGUAGAGAAGGCAGUGAAUGGAAAGUUGGUCUCCCCCAGGGUAUGAUAUUAGGAGCAGACUUACCUGUAGGGGCUGGAUAUGGUGAAAUGAACCUCAUCCCUGCGUGGUGGAAUGGGAGAGUCUGUUGUUUUGUGUGUUCAAGUGUGUUGGUGGCAUCAGAGAAAUCAUUAUGCAAGCUUUGGAUGGAAUAAUUGAUGUCAGGCAUCACUGGGAUACCUCUGGCCAUUUCCAUGUCUUUAGUGUUGUUUUUUUUAACAGAAAUGUAGGACAAUAAAUAAAUAGAGACUUUUGACUGGCUCUGGUCUUUAUCUGCUCUUCCACAUCCACACAGCAGCCAAUAGCUUAAACAGACACGGACACUUUAAGCUAAAUCUCACUGAUUUCAAGUAUGAGUAGCAUUUGCCAGAUGUCAAUAAUAGAAAAAGCAACAGGAAAUAUUUCUGCUUCUGCUUUGUACAAAAAACUUGAUGUGUCAGUGUUAGAGAUGGAGCACCGUACAUCCAGUUGGACUUCCCACCUGCAAAGUUACUGCUUACUGUACAGUCUUGGUGUGGAACUGUGAUGGCAUUGUUAGAGCAGCAUAAUUAUAGGCAUCACCCAAAGGAGGCCUGAAGUGACUCACCUGCACCUGUAGAACAAGUCCCUCUGUGGUUGUUGUGCCCAAGACAUGCCACUGACCAGAAAAGCACUUUUCCUUGAGCUUGCCCUGUCAUCACAGGUCUCAGCCUUUUGGCUGUCAGAGGCCAUUGACAUGGUAGCCACCACUAUAAGGGGCAAAAAGACAACCCCCCCCCCACAGUAUUAUUAGCUGCAGAUGACACGCAGGCCUUGAAUCCUCCGUAAGAUGAGAAACAGGAGAUUAAAAACCCCAUGUGUAGAGGUUGCCAUGUUUUAUUGUGUUGUUUUGUAGUCACCCAGAGCCAGGGAGACAGGCUGAGUUUUGUUUCAACAACUGAUGGGAGCACAGCAGCUGAGCUGACGUCUGCCUCAAGGAGUACUUCAGUUCCCAUAGGUCAGUGUAACUUAAUAUGAUUCUCCACAAAGGGGAAUAAAUGACUUUGGUGAGGCCUAGGAAGGAUCUCCCAAAUAUACACUUGUCCAUGUUUGUUCAUGCAAACGUGUAACACGUUUCUUCAUUAUCAAGUGGCUUCUGAGAUUUCAAGAGACACUUGUGUCUUUACUUUUCUCUGCAGCUAUGAACUACAACUAUGCACAUAAUGAAGGGGUGACAUCACACCUAUAGCUAGGUGUUAUGGAAGAAACAGCAGCUUCCCUCAGACUCAGAGUAGAAUUAUAUAAGAGAAAGUAAAAAUGCGUGAUUCUUCCCAAUGUGGGCUUAAAGCAUCACCUCAAGCAGUCUUAGAGCUUCACUUCAAGCAGUCUCUGACCUCACUGAGUGAUUGCGUUUUCUAGGAUGCUGCUUCUUACACCCCACAACGUCAGCAUACGCAGUUGCUCUCAUGCCCUGUGAAGCAGAGAGGUACAGAAGCAGGCAGGCAGCAGCCUAAGGAAGCUGGCCAGGAGCUGUGAGGGAGUGCUGCUCAGGCAGCCUGGUGAAAAGCAUGAGCUCCCUCAGCUAGCAGCCCUGCCCUGUACCUCACACCCUGGUGAUCAUCUAGGCAGGGAAUGGCUACCAGAGCUGCCUCAUUAUCUCAUUUCAAGAGAAAAAUCAGAUUAGACUUAAAAACCAAUCAGCAAAAUAGAAAACAUUCAGAUUUUCCACAUGCAGUUGAGCAAGCCCUUGGGUUUGAGCAUGACUGUGUGGAGAACACAACUGCAGCUGGUUGGAUUUUACCUCUGUGCCUGGCAGGACGGAUGCAGGCUGUGGACUUUUCCUGAAGCUCAUCUAGACAUUGCUGCAGCCAGCUCAGAUUUAUGGACAGGUUUUUCCACUGUGACCUUGAGGUCACAAGCUGUCAGUAACCCAUCACAACUAAUCGCCAGAAGGCUUUUGGCCGUGCGCUAGUGCUACUGAAGUCAGCAAGAAGAUCCCCAUCAGUUCAAACAGGACCAGGGCUGGGCCUGGCGGACACAAACAAAAAGGCUGAGACAGUGAGCUCUCUUGAUUUCUCAGAAUAAUCUCCCCCUUGACUGGCAUAAAGCAGUGUUUAUGAAAGGAGACAGGCCAACAUUACAUAGCUCUCCUGUGAGGCAGCUUUUUUCCACUGCUUGUUUUACAAAAGCUGAGAAGCCAGUGUUCACGGCACGGCUGAUAUCUAAUAAAUCAACAGAUUGAAGGCAUCUUUCCAAAUAGACAACUGUGUUUAUUAGUACAAGAUACUAGGAAAAACACUCUGUAAUGAAGAUUUCCUCAUGUCUUUGUUUAAUGUUUAUUAUAGCCUCUCUUCUGUGCAACAAAUAAAGCUGACACAAAGAUUACUAGAGUCAUAGGCACACUUGGAUGUUUUUGAAUGUCCUAGAGUAACCAGCACGACAUGGCAGUAUAGAAGGAACUGCAAGGAAGUAGGUGUUGCGUCAUGUUAUAAGGAAAAUAAACACAAAUUUAUGAGAGUAGUUUCCUGGGAACUGAUCCCAGGUGUACAGCAAAGCUCCUUGCUGUCUCAGCUGGAGGAAGAAGGCUGGAGAAGCACCUGGUAACUGCACACCCAAGGACUACUGCCCUCAGCAGAAAUACCACGCUGGGUGCCACUGACACCCAUCUCCCUUGGUGGUGUUCUUAACUGGUCUGGAGCAUGAUCUGGGCUUUAGCCCUGAUGUAAGCAUGUGGGCCAUGACAUUGCUGGCCCUGGGGAAGAGCUCACAGACUCAACAGAAGACCUACACCAAGGAGUAAAAGAUGGAAGGAAGGAAGGAAGGAAGGAAGGAAGGAAGGAAGGAAGGAAGGAAGGAAGGAAGGAAGGAAGGAAGGAAGGAAGGAAGGAAGGAAGGCAGGGAGGGAGGGAGGGAGGGAGAGUAGAUCAGGUCUUCAGGAAAGGAGAUUAGUGGCAAUAAAAUAUCCUACAUUUUGAGAUAAAAUGUGUUUGGUCAGCUCAGCCACAAUUCAGUAUUGAAUCCAGCAAAUGAUCAUCAUCAAUGGAAAUAAGACCACGAAUGUCUCAGUUUAGGAACCAGAAGAGUCCACAGUGUUUGUGGACUUUAGACAUUUAUGAGAAAAUGUUUUAAAAUAGUUUCAUUAUCAAGUGAAGCUGCUCAGUCUUGUUCUUCUGCAAAAGUGGUCAGGGGGAUAUAGAAAGAAAUUGUGUGCAAAUUUUUGACAGUGUCAAAGGGCUAUGUAUAUAAACCUUUUCCAAGUAUUUAGUAAUCAGCUCAGGUUAACAGCAUGAAGCAUAAUAACUCAUCCAGUUAUUAUUCUAUGCAAAAUACCCUGGGGCAGUAUGUAUUGGCUUGUUAAAAAGCAGUAGAAAUGCAGAAUUAGAAGGCUGAUUUAAAAAAAAAAAAAAAAUCCCCCUUCAGAUUAAUCAGAAUGUUUUGUUAAUUACAUGCUAUGCAAAAAUGCGACCUUGUCCUCUUGAUAUAGAAAAAAUAAAGAACUCUACAACGUGUAUUUGUUCUCAAGAGGAAGCAAAUGUAUGAAGAACUGCCAACAUUGAGUCUCAGCCUUACUGUGUACUGCAGUACUGCCAAAGGCAACAGUGUAAUGAUCCGCAAGACCCAAAUUCAUCCCUGGCAUUGUUCAGCUCUCACUGGUGGAGAUACAGCCCGGACAAGUUUGUCUCAUAGAGAUAAACAGACCAACACAAAAGACAGCUGCCUGACAAGAGCAGAGCUCAGUGUCCCACUGUUGGGCGAAGAGAGCACAUAAUACCAUCAGUGGUUGGUUUAACCCAGGCUGUGGUGCAGAAUUUACUAAUUCUCCUUGUUUCGUCCAUGUGAAAGUGCAAGGUGUUUCCUGCUGCUGGCUGACCCAAUCCAGCCCUGAGGUGGUUUCAGUGGCUGAGCACUGGACUCUGGCUCAGUAGAACUUGAGUCCCUUUCCACUCUUAACACCAGCUGAGGACAGUUCCUCACCUGCAAGACAAAGGUAAGUACUUCAGUUACCAACUACAGGAGCCCAGAGAAGAGUAUGAGAACAAAGCAAACAUGGUGAUACUUCUCAGUACACUUUCCCCUCCUCCUAGCUCCUUUGUGGUUCAGUUUCUCCAUAUAAGAAUUGUUUUUGCCUUUGAUAGACUUCAGUGAAUAUUUUUUCUCCUCACAGAGUUCUCUGAUACAUACAAGAAAAGCAAAUUCUUCUUGAAAGCCAAUCAAUCCUGGGGUCUUCUUGUGCAGGCUGUCCUUCUUGAUGACUAUUCCUUCUUGAUGAUCCCAGCUUCCUAACAACAGGUACAAUAUGCCAGUUUUAUCCCUCUUUCAGGUCACACAGAGAUCUAAGCUCUUGACCUCACACACAUACAUGCAUUCAAUUGCUGGCCCUUUCUUGCUCCAUCCUAAAAACCCUUGCCUGGUGACUCCAUGGGAACCACCGAGGACAAGGCCUCAGAGCUGCACUGAAUCACUAAAUCUUUGCAGUUUUUCUGUGUUUGGGUAAGUUAACCAGAGAGCUCAGUGAGUUUAUGCUUUGCAGAGCUAUGCUGGCAAAUGCUUCCAGUCUUGAACCACCCACCCAGAUUCCUGCAAUAGCACAGAUAAACUAAUCUGUGCAUUUCUAAUGUACCUGUCAUGCAGCAUGGAGAUACUGCGAUAGCUGAAUCAGUGGAAGCCAUCAAAGCUUUCCAACAUGUCUUUCCUUGGACUGGGAUAAGCUAGCAAACAUCAGCAAGAGCUAGGGCUGCUGUGGAGCUGUAAGCACACAGUCUGUAGCACUGCAUUUUGCGUGGAAUCCAUAUAGUUAAUGUGAGCUGCUGCUGUAGGUGUCCCUGGCAGAGAGGCAGCAGGAGCUGGAAGCAUUAUCUGAAAAACAGCCAGAUCUCACACAGCCCAGUAGGCUGAUGUUAGUUUUGAUGGUCUACUUCAGAGCUUCUCAAAAACACUAAAAUACAUGUGUUGCUGUUUAUCUGAUUGAUGUCUUCUUGUUUAAAGAAAAAAAAAUAGAGAGAGAAAAAAAGGCAGAAGCGUGUGGGAAAGAAAAUGGGGCUGAUUUCAGACAUUUGCUAUGAGAGCCAGAUCUCUACUUGACUAAUUUCAUCUGUGUUCUGCAUGGCCUUUGGGUAAAGCUGACAUGGAUUUAAGUGAAUGUUUUCAACAUGGAAAAAAAGAAAGCACAAGAGAAAUAUAGGUUGCAUUUUAGGACAUGAUGUUUAACUGUCAUGGAAUUUUUCAGACUAAAGAAGUCAAAAAGGACUGAAGGUUCUGGUAUUUCCAGCAUCUGCAUGCUGAGUGAGACAAAUUACAAGGGAAGGAGAUUUUUCUCUCUCCCCUCCUCGUGACCGUAAACACCCCAGGAUCACAUCUCAGAGAGCAGCUAGUCAGCAUGCACAUGCACUACAGAUACAUGCAGCCACACAGCAUAGACAGAGACUGUGGAGAAGGUGGAGGCUGAGCCAGCAUGCCAGGAGGGAAACAGAUCUACGCUGCUUUGCAUCAGGACACAACUUCUGUGCUCAGUGCCGAAGGUGUAAAAGCGAUCCAGCCUGAGGAACUGAGACCACUGUCACCAAGGGCAGAAUACUGCCCAAGGAGAGCAUCCUUGCUCUCUAUCAGGAGAUCGUCUUCUAGGAACAGCAUCAGAUCUGAAAUCAAAGGUGAAUCUUAACGCAAAGAGGCAGGUGCCAGCUCUAGUUGUCUGUGCCACUCAGGCAAUUAGCUGACAAAUAUAAACCAGAUCUCCACGUUUCAAAGCUCAUUUGCAUUGCUCCUGAGACAGUCUGUCGGAAAAGAAUGUAAUUAGGUUGAAGCUGACAAGAUUUAUGCACAGAGGGGGAAAAAAGAAAGAAGAAGAGAAAAAAUUAUGCCUUGGAACACCCGGGCGAGUGGCAGUUCUGGCACGAGCAACCAUCAGAAGACAUACGUCUGUGGGACUGCAGCAGCAGUGAGGGAGGCAUGGAGACGACCCCCCCAGAUUGAGUAGAGGGGAUGCUCACAAGCACCUGAGCAUUGCUGGUAGUCUUGUCAGAAGGCUGCUUUUGGCAGCUGAGCUGCAGUAUCUCCAGCCCAAGCUGCCACCCACCCCCUCAGCCGCAUGAGCCAGGCUGCGGAGCAGCUAGGCCAAGCCUGUGCCCAGGCAGAACCAGGCCCCAGCUCUUCGUGGAUGCUGCGCGAGGGCCUGCAAGUCAUACCCUCUGUUCAUUAGACACUUUCCUUCUUUAAACAGGAGGGCUGUCAUCCCAGGAUCACGUGCAAGCUCAGCAGUCACCACAGUGAACAGACCCACUGGCUCUGGGAUGUCCCUCUCACUCCUGCUUAACUAGGUUACACGGCAAGGUGCCAAAACCUGUACGGCUGCCUCUCCUCACCAGCAGGAAAAUUCCAUUAAAUUCACUCCUGGGGUUGGCAUACCUGCUAUUUAGGCAUAAAAUCACUGAGUGAAAUCACCUGCUUAGCUCUGAACACUAAGAAGGAGCUAUUUUCCAAUUGUAAAAUUCAGAAUUGUGACUAGAGAAAAUAAAGCUCUGCCACGCAAAGCACUGUUAAUUCUGCUCUGUGGUGAAAGACUUUGGUAAUUAAGUGAUUAAAGCAUUUUAAUAGCUGUUGGAGAUUGUUCAGUUGGCGUGGAAAAACGCAUUCCCUUCUUCCACUUUUUCUGUUUUGGCAUCACCGUGACAGGAGCAAAUGGGGUCUGAGCAGCUGACUUGUCAGUCUGGUCCUUUAGUUGCCACUGGGCAGUGAUUUCAGCAGGCUAUUCCCACAAAGCACUGCCCUUCCCAUCCUGCAGGAAGGACUGAGCUGGUGAGGAGGGCCCCAGCAGCCCUGCCAGGCUGCUGCCCACGCCGCAGGCAAGCCCAGAGCAGCCCCUGCAGCUGCAUUUUAACCCAGAUGGGUUAAACGUGUCAGAGUUCCCCUAUACCACUGACAGCUAAUAUAUUUGCAUGUGAAUUAGCAGUAACAAAGAGGCGCGAUCAGCUGUGUUGCCUUUGUCUCACUGGCUCCACUCCACUGUGGUGCAUGACCCCAGGACUUGCAGCAGUGAGCUGUUGAUUCCCAGCCAUCUUCCCCAGAAUACUCACAACAUUUCAGUCUCUUUUGUAUCCUCUUCUAGUCUUUUUUUUUUUUUUCUUUCCUUCUUUUUUUCAGGUGUUAUGGUCCUAAUCCUGACCACCUACUUCAUUUCUUUUAGGAAGCUGUCCCUUACUUCCAGUUGUUCUUGUUAUCAUUCCAGCUGUUUGCAGAGAUGGACCCAGAGCUGCACAGGACAGAGACAUACAGGUGCUGAAUUUUGUGAAGGACUCAGUUUUACCCAGGAGGGUGAAUUAAUUACAGAUUCACAAGAUUUGGAACUGCUACACUGAUGAUAUGCUGACUUCUUGAAAGCAAAAUCUGGUCCUCACUGCGUUCAGUAGGAUAUUCGCAGCUGUUUUCAACAUGAUGCCCGCAGUUCAUUCCAACCUGUUCUUUCUUCCUGCAAGUUGUAUGAGUUGAGCAACAACUACAGUUCUAAUCAUGCUCCAUGCAUGAACGCUGCCAGGACCAAAGAGCUUGCUGGGGAUCAGUGAGGGAUAAGUGAAACCAGAGGCAGUUAGAUAUCUUUGGCAAAAGAAACCAACACCCAAGGAGCAUGUUUCAGAAUUGAGCUUCCAAUAUGAGAAAAGUACAUGCAGCUUCUUUCAUAAAGAUUACCUUAGAAGAUACAGUGGUGCAUUUAGGACUGUAGCCAUAAAAAAAAAAAAAAAAAAUCUGGACAAUAAAAAAUCCACAAACUGAGCAUUAGACUACAAUAGCCAAAACUUGACCCACCGGAGACUAUUUCCUCACAAGGUAAGCAGGCCUAGAGGUGCUCUGUUUAGACCUACUGAGAUACUAGUACUUAUGGAUAGCAUCUUGACAUAUUUUAAGGGGAUCUGUUUCCUCUGUCCUCAGUAUUGUCUUUGUGAAGAAGUUCUCCAGGCAUAAGAUCCCAAGUAGUACUAUGAAAUAUCUGAGCAGCCUGUAAAACAUUGUAUGCAGUACUGCAGAUUGAACAACUGUUUUCUCUGUGCACCUCUCAUGCACUAUUUCUGCCUGUGAUUAUGUUUUUCAUGCAUCACCAGUGCAGCAAGCUUUUGCUAGAUAUUUCACCAGCUAACUGCAAAUUAGCCAGGGCGUGCUCUUGAUUUGGAGAUCUCUGACAACCCAGCCCACCAUUCACUCAGACGUAUUCAACAGGGAAAUAAACUCUUUUCAAUGUUGAAGAAAUCCAGCUCUUCAUUAGUUAACAAAGUUCUUUUCCCUCUCUUUAAGAGGAAUAAUCUCUUUAAGAGAAGAAUCAUUUUCAAAGCUUGAGAAACGCACUAUUUCCACUUCAGUUUAGAUUCUUAGCCAGUUAAGAUUUCCUUUAGAUGGAACUGACUUUUCAUGCUAGACUUGACUAGGAAAGUUAAGUGUUUGAGAGCAGGAGGAACAAAGAAAAAAAACCACCUCAGAACUAUGUUCUUUCUGAAACCUGAGGUAUAGGUUAGCUACCAAAAAUGAACAUAAAGGAAUCAGAUCUAAAUGCCAGGUACCAGUGACUUUUAGGAGGAAUCAGGUGUCUACUUAAGUUCCUCCAUUAAAGUGGAUCAUUAAAAACAAAGCCCCAGGCUUCCUGAAACAGAAGAUUUCCACGUCUGCUUUAUACGAGUCCCAGACAAGAAAAUGAAGGGGACAUACGGAAUACUGUGAAAUAACUUUGGAAUUCUGAAUGCAAGAAAGUUUAUUUUUAUUAGCUGUUGUUCUUCAUAUAGACUGUGUGCCUCUCAGGCCCCUCACCUCAGAUGUUCCUGGCAUGCAUGGCUCACAGUGCUUGCCUUAGCUUUAUUCAUGAAAUUCAUUUCAUAAUAACAGGAGAACAUUCCCUGGGGGAUUAUCACACUUCUGUAGGCUUGGAUAGAGUGCUCCAAAAUGUCACCCGAGGCAUCCUAUGUCACCUAGUACAAGGAGGAACUGCAGGCACUUUAUAAUACUCACAGCAGUUUUAGUGUGGAUAUAGCUCCGUAUCUACCAACCAAGUUAUUAUGAGUCAAACUCCGGUUCUGUGUUUCCAUGAACACAUCCAGUUAACAUUCAUUUCCCAAAGUUAUGUUAAUCCUCAACUUUCCUUCCACAUGAGUCCACAGUUAAUUAAGCAGGGAUGGGUUCUGCUGUGGCCUCAUUUGCGAAGAACUCAUUCUCUGCACUUCUGGAGAAGAGGCAGCUGUGACAUCAACAACCUACCUCAAACCUAGUCAAUGUCAGAGGUCUUCCAGGACACUUAGCAUCCCCAAAAAUCUGACCAGAUCCAAUCAGGGGAAAAGGGAACAUUUCUGUGACAUGCAUACAUUCAUUUGGGCCUGCUUUGACCUACCUGGGCCACUGCAGGAAGGACAUGACUAUGAGUAGAAAGAACACACCUACUGAUGGUAUCUUGUGCAAAGGUCUCUGUCUCCCUUAAGAGCCCAUUUAGCUGCUACAGGCUAAGCUUUUCUAAUCAAAUGCUUCCAGAAGUAGACACUUAAUUAGUUUAACUGCAGAAAGAUUUUGGAGUUUCAGAAGGUUCAGAGUUCAUUUACUUUUGUCCUUACGUUUCACUUGCACACAUCCAUCUUCCAGAGCUCCAGCCAGGGUUACGAUCAGAGGGCCAGAACUGCCUGUGCAGGCACACACAGAAGAGAUCACGCUCAGAAACUUUUGAUUAGCUAGACAGUGAUUUCAUUUACAGACAGCAGUUGAGCAUCAUCCAGGAAAAUGAGUUAACUGAAACAUAAUUAAGUGCAUGUCAGCAGAGCAAGUUGAAUUAGUCUGCUGAGGAAAUUAACAGGCUCUCAGAUACAAUAGGGGUUCAAAAGAGCCUAUGGAAAUAGAAUGAAGGGACACAACUACCAACUCACAUUUCUAAUUAGAGAAGUAAGUAUGAAUGGAACACAAGUUUCCCCCACAUCUCGCUCACCUUUCA